rnacentral:rRNA from 1 species
GACGAACGCUGGCGGCGUGCUUAACACAUGCAAGUCGAACGAAAAGUCCCUGUUUCUGUGGGGUGCUCGAGAGGCGAAAGGGGGAGUGACACGAAAGUAACCUGACCUUGACUGUGGGAUAACUUAAGGAAAGUGGGGACAAUAGCGGAUAGGAGCUCAUGCUGCAUGGCGAGGGUGGAAAGUUGGGGCGGUUGGAGAUGGACUCGCGGCUUAUCAGCUUGGUUGUGGGAGAGUGGCUUACCAAGGCUAUGAUGGGUAAGCGAAUUGAGAGGGUGAUCGGCCACAUUAGAACUUAGACACGGCCCAAACUCCUGCGGGACGCAGCAGUCGGGAAUCUGCCACAGUGGGCGAAAGCCUGAUGGAGCAACGCCGCGUGGGAUAAGAAGGUCUUCGGAUCGUAAAACCCUCUUGUUAGAGAAGAAAGUGCGUCGGCGUAACUGUUCACGUUUUGACGGUAUCUAACCAGAAAGCCCCGGCUAACUACGUG